GAUGAACGCUGGCGGCGUGCUUAACACAUGCAAGUCGAACGAGAAAUGUAGACGGACACCUUCGGGCGGAAGCCUUCAUUUCGAGUGGCGGACGGGUGAGUAACGCGUGGGUAACCUGCCUCAUACAGGGGGAUAACAGUUGGAAACGACUGUUAAUACCGCAUAAGACCACAGCAUCGCAUGAUGCGGGGGUAAAAACUCCGGUGGUAUGAGAUGGACCCGCGUUCGAUUAGCCAGUUGGCGGGGUAACGGCCCACCAAAGCGACGAUCGAUAGCCGAUCUGAGAGGAUGACCGGCCACAUUGGGACUGAGACACGGCCCAAACUCCUACGGGAGGCAGCAGUGGGGAAUAUUGCACAAUGGGGGAAACCCUGAUGCAGCGACGCCGCGUGAGUGAAGAAGUACUUCGGUAUGUAAAGCUCUAUCAGCAGGGAAGAAAAUGACGGUACCUGAGUAAGAAGCCCCGGCUAACUACGUG
rnacentral:rRNA from 1 species